rnacentral:rRNA from 1 species
GACGAACGCUGGCGGCGUGCUUAACACAUGCAAGUCGAACGAUGAUCAGGAGCUUGCUCCUGUGAUUAGUGGCGAACGGGUGAGUAACACGUGAGUAACCUGCCCCUGACUCUGGGAUAAGCGUUGGAAACGACGUCUAAUACUGGAUACGACUGCCGGCCGCAUGGUCUGGUGGUGGAAAGAUUUUUUGGUUGGGGAUGGACUCGCGGCCCAUCAGCUUGUUGGUGAGGUAAUGGCUCACCAAGGCGACGACGGGUAGCCGGCCUGAGAGGGUAACCGGCCACACUGGGACUGAGACACGGCCCAGACUCCUACGGGAGGCAGCAGUGGGGAAUAUUGCACAAGGGGCGAAAGCCUGAUGCAGCAACGCCGCGUGAGGGAUGACGGCCUUCGGGCUGUAAACCUCUUUUAGUAGGGAAGAAGCGAAAGUGACGGUACCUGCAGAAAAAGCACCGGCUAACUACGUGCCAGCAGCCGCGGUAA